rnacentral:rRNA from 1 species
AUUGAACGCUGGCGGCAUGCUUUACACAUGCAAGUCGAACGGUAACAGGUCUUCGGAUGCUGACGAGUGGCGAACGGGUGAGUAAUACAUCGGAACGUGCCUAGUAGUGGGGGAUAACUACUCGAAAGAGUAGCUAAUACCGCAUGAGAUCUACGGAUGAAAGCAGGGGACCUUCGGGCCUUGUGCUAGCAGAGCGGCUGAUGGAAGAUUAGGUAGUUGGUGGGGUAAAGGGGUACAAAGCCUGCGAUCUGUAGCGGGUCUGAGAGGACGACCAGCCACAGUGGGACUGAGACACGGCCCAGACUCCUACGGGAGGCAGCAGUGGGGAAUUUUGGACAAGGGGCGAAAGCCUGAUCCAGCAAUGCCGCGUGCAGGAUGAAGGCCCUCGGGUUGUAAACUGCUUUUGUACGGAACGAAAAGCCUGGGGCUAAUAUCCCCGGGUCAUGACGGUACCGUAAGAAUAAGCACCGGCUAACUACGUGCCAGCCGCCGCAGUAACAC